rnacentral:piRNA from 1 species
UGAAACUGUGUGUAGAGGCAGU